AAUCUAUACUUAUUUUUUUUCUAUCAAUUUUGCGGGCGAAACAAAAUCUAAAACCAAACCUGCGAAGUAGCAGAGAGAGGAGAGAAGAGAAGAGAGAAAGAACAAUGAUAGAUUCAGUCUACACUCCUGCAGCCCAAUGCGCCAACUUGGGGGUCAAUGAAGGGGCACACAUGGGCAUAUACAAGAGUGUUACAUGGUUUGAAAAUACAAAACUCCUUUCAACCAGUGGUGGCGUCGUGCCUUGUUAACUUCCUUUAUCAUGAUUAUGCAAGAGACUCAAACACAAGAGCAAAGCAAACUGCUUCUACAACAGUUUGGUAUCAACUACGAGAGGGAACCGGUCAUAUUCCAUAGAGGAUCCUGUGUUUACAGAGAUAAGGUGGGAGAGAGCGUGUAGGAUGCUGAAGGUAGAGAUCAUGUUCAACGUUCUCUGAAGGAGUCAUUGCUAAUCUUUUAGAAUUUCUUUAUAGGCUUUGUAUAUAAAUUUUAUAUGGAAUUUUGCUACAGAUAUGUGGUUUUUUUAUCUAAUUACUUCAUGGUUUU